AAUCUUGGACAAUGGGGGCAACCCUUAUCUAGCCAUGCCGCGUUAGUUAAGACGAUCCUCGGCUUUUAAAGCACUUGCAGUUGGGAGGAAGGUCAGUAAGUUAAUACCUUGCUGUUUUGACGUUACCGACAGAAUAAGCACCGGCUAACUUCGUGCCAGCAGCCGCGGUAAUACGAAGGGUGCAAGCGUUAAUCGGAAUUACUGGGCGUAAAGCGCGCGUAGGUGGUUCAGUAAGAUGGGUGUGAAAGCCCCGGGCUCAACCUGGGAACUGCUUUCAAAACUGGCAAGCUAGAGUAUGGCAGAGGGUGGUGGAAUUUCCUGUGUAGCGGUGAAAUGCGUAGAUAUAGGAAGGAACACCAGUGGCGAAGGCGACUACCUGGACUGAUACUGACACUGAGGUGCGAAAGCGUGGGGAGCAAAC
rnacentral:rRNA from 1 species